rnacentral:rRNA from 1 species
UAAAGUGCGUCGUAGUCCGGAUUGGAGUCUGCAACUCGACUCCAUGAAGUCGGAAUCGCUAGUAAUCGUGGAUCAGAAUGCCACGGUGAAUACGUUCCCGGGCCUUGUACACACCGCCCGUCACACCAUGGGAGUGGGUUGCAAAAGAAGUAGGUAGCUUAACCUUCGGGAGGGCGCUUACCACUUUGUGAUUCAUGACUGGGGUGAAGUCGUAACAAGGUAACCGUAGGGGAACCUGCGGUUGGAUCACCUCCUUACCUUAAAGAA